GCCUCGGUGGCGUAUUGGUAGACGCUUGUCCGGUAAACAAGAGGAUGCGGGUUCGAAUCCCAACCGAGCCU
rfam:Asian citrus Psyllid, Diaphorina citri - Florida Strain, whole genome shotgun sequence.